AGUGAACGCUGGCGGUAGGCCUAACACAUGCAAGUCGAACGGCAGCACAGUAAGAGCUUGCUCUUACGGGUGGCGAGUGGCGGACGGGUGAGGAAUACAUCGGAAUCUACUUUUUCGUGGGGGAUAACGUAGGGAAACUUACGCUAAUACCGCAUACGACCUACGGGUGAAAGCAGGGGAUCUUCGGACCUUGCGCGAUUGAAUGAGCCGAUGUCGGAUUAGCUAGUUGGCGGGGUAAAGGCCCACCAAGGCGACGAUCCGUAGCUGGUCUGAGAGGAUGAUCAGCCACACUGGAACUGAGACACGGUCCAGACUCCUACGGGAGGCAGCAGUGGGGAAUAUUGGACCAUGGGCGCAAGCCUGAUCCAGCCCUACCGCGUGGGUGAAGAAGGCCUUCGGGUUGUAAAGCCCUUUUGUUGGGAAAGAAAAGCAGCAGGUUAAUACCCCGCUGUUCUGACGGUACCCAAAGAAUAAGCACCGGCUAACUUCGUG
rnacentral:rRNA from 1 species